GAUGAACGCUGGCGGCGUGCCUAAUACAUGCAAGUCGAGCGAACAGACGAGGAGCUUGCUCCUCUGACGUUAGCGGCGGACGGGUGAGUAACACGUGGAUAACCUCCCUAUAAGACUGGGAUAACUUCGGGAAACCGGAUCUAAUACCAGAUAAUAUAUUGAACCGCAUGGUUCAAUAGUGAAAGACGGUUUUGCUGUCACUUAUAGAUGGUUCCGCGCAUCAUUAGCUAGUUGGUAAGGUAACGGCUUACCAAGGCAACGAUCCGUAGCCGACCUGAGAGGGGGAUCGGCCACACUGGAACUGAGACACGGUCCAGACUCCUACGGGAGGCAGCAGUAGGGAAUCUUCCGCAAUGGGCGAAAGCCUAACGGAGCACCGCCGCGUGAGUGAUGAAGGUCUUCGGAUCGUAAAACUCUGUUAUUAGGGAAGAACAAAUGUGUAAGUAACUAUGCACGUCUUGACGGUACCUAAUCAGAAAGCCACGGCUAACUACGUG
rnacentral:rRNA from 1 species